rnacentral:rRNA from 1 species
UACGUAGGUGACAAGCGUUGUCCGGAUUUACUGGGCGUAAAGAGCGCGCAGGCGGUCGUUCAAGUCGAGUGUGAAAGCCCCCGGCUCAACUGGGGAGGGUCAUUCGAUACUGAUCGACUUGAAGGCAGGAGAGGGAAGUGGAAUUCCGGGUGUAGUGGUGAAAUGCGUAGAUAUCCGGAGGAACACCAGUGGCGAAGGCGACUUCCUGGCCUGUUCUUGACGCUGAGGCGCGAAAGCUGGGGGAGCAAACGGG